UGAGACGUUGAUGAUGCUCCCGUCGCCAUGGUUAUGUGAUUGGGUAUGUCUUGCCCUCGGUCCUAACUGCCACUGUCGGUGCUGAGUUUUUCAAAGCUCAUAGCAGGUUGAACAUGCUUGCUGUCAUUUUCACAGAUUCUGGUCUUUCUUAUGGGGAACCUGAGUUCCUGCAUUAAAGGUUCCCCAGAAGAUCAACAGAAGGCGGAUUCCAAAGACUGGGCAAGUGAGGACCCCUUCUCUAUUACCAAGGUGACUCCAAAGAACACAAUUAAUGGGUUAAAGCAGGGACACGGUGGUCUCUAAGGCACAUAGGAGGCUCUGAGAACGGAAAAUGAGAUCUCUCCAAACUGGAAUGUAA